UGUUUCUUUGUGUCUGUGGAUUUGUAGGGCAACUAUCUGGUCGUGGGCCUGUGGUUGCUGUUGCUCAGAAGGUGGGCAGUUGGAUAUGGAGCAGGGAAGAGUAUACAGAGCAGGGAAGAAACAGAGUGAGGAAAACUUGAAGCCUCUAGCACAGACGUUUAUUAAAAGAGAAGGCAUGACAUAGUGUUCUAGGAAAUUAAUUGCAGCAAUGUAGGAUUGUUUGACAGGACAGAUGGCCCUUGAAGUUAGUGGUCAUGAGUUUGAAGUAUUACCAGGUAGCAUAGUGAAUUUUUUCUCCAGUUACAGGCUUCAGGUUAAGGCAUGGAAUGGUCAGGGUUGGGAUUUUGCCAAUUUAGUAAAGAGAGAGAGGUGAAAAAAAGUU